rnacentral:misc_RNA from 1 species
AAUCAACAUCAGUCUUAGAUCCUUCAUUAUAAAGCUCCCGAAUGGCUCCAUCGACCGCUAAAGAAGCUUACGUUACACUAUGUACGAACGAUUCGUAUGCCAUUGGUGUCUUGGUAUGGGUGGAAUCUCUGAAAGAGGUCGGAACAACCCGGCAAAUUGUAGUUAUGAUUACAAAUGGACUGUCUCAAAAGAUGAAGGAACAACUGGCAGAAAGUGCCGAUAAGGUAGUGGAAGUAAACGUGUUAGAUAGCAGGGAUAAUGUUAAUUUGGAUCUCCUGGCAAGACCUGACCUUGGUGUAACCUUUACAAAGUUGCAUUGCUGGCGUUUGACUGAAUAUGACAAGUGCGUUUUUAUGGAUGCAGAUACUUUGGUGCUAAAAAACAUCGAUGAUCUGUUCGAGAAGGAAGAAUUUUCUGCUGCUCCCGAUCCAGGAUGGCCAGAUUGCUUCAAUUCUGGAGUUUACGUAUAUAAGCCAUCGUUGGAAACUUAUCAGAAACUGCUUAAAUUUGCUGUACAAUCAGGAAGUUUUGACGGCGGUGAUCAAGGUCUACUCAAUUCCUAUUACACAAACUGGAAUAGGAUUUCUUUUUUGUAUAACUGCGUUGCUCAGAGUUUUUACAGCUAUCUUCCAGCAUUUAAACAAUUUGGUAAGGAUGUUAAAGUUGCCCAUUUUAUCGGUGCAGUAAAACCUUGGCAUCAUAGUUUCGAUGUUUCAACCGGAAAGGUUUCGGAAUCGGAAUUUUCAGGCCAUUGUGCCGACUUCUUGCGACACUGGUGGAAUUUAUUUGUUAGUAGAGUUCACAAGCGUUUACCCGAAGAAAUUUCGCCGACAUUCCCAAAAGAGAAAUGGUCGCCAGGUAUCGCUGCUGGCAACUUUCAACCACCGUCCCAAAUGCAGGGACCAUACAUACCACCUAGCGUCGAGACAUUUUAUUCUCCCAUUCCGACCAGUAAUGAACUUCAAAUGGUCGUAGAACUGAAAGAAAGGAAAGAUUAUGAUUUUUAUGAAACUUUUUAUGCUGAACCUCCAAUGAGAACCAAAGAAGAGUAUGUUGCUCCAAGAUCUGAAACUUACACUGCGAAAGAGUUCAAUAUAGUCCUCCAAAGUUUUGGAGAUGAUAUUAGUCAGUCGGUAGUAAAAGAAGAUCUACCCGCUUUGCCAAAAGUGGUUGAGGCCUACGAAUCGACUCAACCAGCAGUGCCUUUAGCACAUCACGAACCCCCACCAAUGCAACCUCCUGUCGAAGCUCCUAAGGAGAUUCUAAAAGAAAAUCCAAGAGAGCUGCCAAAAGAGAUUCACGAAUAUGUCGAUUCUUCAGCAUCAUCUAUACCUACUAGUCCUUCCUCAAUUUCUACUUUUAAGGAUUUUUCUGGCCCAUCGACACCGCGUUCUGCAACUCCUACAAGAAUUGAAACGCCCUUUCAGGAUAGCGUUAUUUCACACGGAGCGGACAUCGUUAAAGUAACUAAGGAGUCAUUUAAAUACUUUAUAAUAAUACGUACCAAAAUUUUCAUUUAAAUUUAACUAGUUUCACUAGAGUUACUGUAAAAGUUAUUAUUAGUUUCUUGACUUCAAAGUUACUUUUAGGCUGUCGUAGAAAAUGGCUGCAGUAAUCAUAAAGCAGGAGAUUGCUCUUUUUGUCAAACAAGACACGAAGAAGUUGUGCAAAGUGUAUCAGGAAAAAAGAAAAAGACCAAGAAACGAGGAAGGGGCGAGGUAAUGAAAUUAAGAAUGUAGUAAUUCAAUUAGAGUGACAAAAGCUGCAAACAUAAAAAGGAAAUUUUUUUAAUUAAAAUCGUUACAACAAUUCACCAGUUUCAUGCGCUGAAACAAUCUUAACGUGAGUUUAAAUGAUUAAGGUCUAAAAAAGAAAACUUACUUGAAUUCUUUUUUCUUUUGGAUAUUGUACCUCAAAAUGUUCUAUUUGUUUUUAUUUUUUUGCAAUGUUAAGAGAGAGAGAGAGAGAGAGAGAGAAAGGUACUUGAACAGAAAAAAAAUACAAAAAUAUGAGGGCGGGUAAGCGUUGGAAAUACUAAUAGGUCUAUUGCUUUAUCUAUUAUAUUUUUUUUCCCAUUUGCACUUUCAAAGUUUAGUUAAUAGUUUGCAAAAGUAUUUUCUUUUUUCUAAACACAAAAUCACUAUUUUCUUAAUGGAAAGCAAGCGGAAAAAAGGAAAACACCAUCUUAUAAAAGUAGAUUAAACUGUCCAUAAACUUUUAUAUUUCUUUUCAAAUAUUCUGUCAGUGCACAUCACAAAAUGUAUUUUUUCCUCUGUGUAGUAUCUCUUUUAUUAUUAUUCAUAUUAGAAAGUGUAAAGGAAGCUUGCUUUUGGACAUAAUUUCUUUAUUAUUUCGGUAUUUCUUCUGUUUCAUUUUUCAGGAAAGGAAAAAUAGUUAAAUUUUAGUCUAUGCUGUCUUUUAUUUCUUUAAUUCUUGAUCAAUUUCAUUGGUUAAUUUUAAAAUCGUCUCCAUCGUUAAUAGUUAUUAAUCAUUUUUUCAUUUUUUAAAAUAUUAGAUGAGAAUGAGAAGUCAAAGUUUAAAUAUCGUCUAUUCCGAUCUUAAUACGGAUGAUUCUCAAAGAAGAUUCUUGUGGGAACAAGGCCAAAUCGAUUAUAUGGGAAUUGAUAAAUUUGAUAAUAUUCAAAAGAAGCUGGAUAGCAUGAUUGUCUCCCCAGAGCCGGCGAAACCGAAGCAUAAGAACAAACGACCAUCGUCUAGAGGUUCUAGUGGAAAAAGCUCGACUGUAUCGUCCGAAGGUUCAGGUGAAUCUAAAAACGCCUCGGAUGAUGGAAAGGAUAGUGGCAGUGAGACGCAAUUAACAAAUAGAUUAAGAUCGGCUGAUGCUACUCCCACUGCACCUAGCACCGGAAUCUUGAAGAAAAAGCCUACUGAUAGUAAAACGGAAGAGAAAAAAGUUGAAAAGGGAGCUAAAGAAACGAAAUCUGUUCCUGCGCCAGCUAAGACAGGUGGAAAGCAGAAAGGUAUUAUGAAAGGAAAUAAAGCAGAGGUCAGCGAGCUGUAAUUGAAUUUUGCAUAUUUGAGAAAUGCAUAUAUUUUUGGUAAGAUGAUUGGAGGAAUCAAUUAGAUACAUAUAUAUGUUACAUAUUAAUUUUAGUUAUUUUAUUGUUUCUGAGACGUUCAAUAGAAAUUACAUUUUGAAUUAAUUGUAAAAGCAAUUUCAUUGUGUGCCUCACUUGAAUGCAGUGGUGAAAUGUUUUGUAGUUGCCAUUAAGUUUAUGAUCGCUAAAAUACAGAUUAACAUAUUCCCCCAAAAGUGUUUCUUUUUUUUGCAUAUGUUAUAUGUAGGCCUAGAGUUCAUUUAUUUGAUUAACACGAUAACAGGUGAAUAUAAUAGGGGAAAAUAUUAAAAAGAUAAUCCUUUAAUAGAGGAUUCUCUACCAAAAAGUAUUUUUUUAAGGACACUAAAUAUCUUUACUAUAUUAUAUCACUAUUUAUUCC